rnacentral:tRNA from 1 species
UCUUAUCAAGGCGUUAUCUUAUUCUUCCUUUAAGUAUAAGCUCUUCUCUGGAAUGAUUGC